CGUGCCGUCCGGGGACAAUCGAACUCUGCUGACACGGUUCUCGUGACCGUACAUUGUGGAAAUACGAUUUCCCUUCAGGACAUCCCACACAUGUAUGGUGUAGUCGUUGUAGCCGGCGAAGAGCAGGCGACCUGAGAGGAGAUUUACCACUGAGGGAAAAGUCCACGGUAGAUGCCCCAAAGAUGAUGCUGUCUUUCUGGUUCAAUCUCACGAGGAAUAAGACGACUUUGCUGGCGUCAACAUGGUUGCAGAAAAUCAUGCUGAAAAUGGAUCUUAUGAUUUCAUUUAGUGUGCUGCACUCACUUGACACAGUUGAUGUCAGACUCGUGGUUCUCAAAGGACUGGAUGUUCUGACCGGAGCGCAUGUCCCACACGUUAGCUUUCUUAUCGCAGCCCUUGAUAACAUGCACAGUACACCAUGUCAGUCGAUAUUGUCAUGUAAGAAUAAUACGAAUAAUCUGCUCUCUUACGCCAGACACAAAAGUGUUCCCGGUCUCGGAGGGGGCGAGGUCCAGUGACAAGAUGUCGGCGGUGUGACCGUGGAAGCUCUGCAGUAGCUGUCCGCUCUCCACGUCCCACAGAGCACACGUGCCAUCGCCACUGCUAUGACAACAUGAACAGCUUGCGUGAUGAAGACCAGACGAUGAGCACUUAGGAGACAAACGCCUCCAUCAGCGGUCCCGGCGGAUUAGAGAAUUCCCGCCGGGUGACCAAUCCAGACGCACUUCCUGUUUAGUGUCCACGGCAAAGGUCCGGUUUCAGUGCGAACGCGUCGCAAUUAUCAGUAAGCCACAAUUAGCGACACCACAGCAGAUGGGAGCCGCGCUGAUCCGACAUGAGAGCUUCAUGGUGGAGUAUGUGUGUGUGAAAAUAAAAAUGGAACACAUGACGCGUAGUACUAAAAUGAAUAGAGGCUUUCUGAAUUUCCGCCUGGAGCUCUACUUAGCAGGAUAAAGACUGUCCUCGUGUGCGUGCGUGGCCUCAAGCCACAAUGUUCCACUCUGUCUUAGAUAAAAGGCACUCAAGUUCUAAAAAUACUGACAAGUGGUGACCCCUUUGUCUCCUCCCACUAACCCUCCACGCUUUCUUAUUUUUGCCCCUACGGCCUCCUCUGUGGUCAAUCAAAGCGUGCGAUCUAAUAAUAUGUCCAUUUUGUCUCGAACAAUAAUCGCUUCAACUGAAUAUAAAGUCCGCUACUUUGGCUUUCAAAAUCAACUGCUUCUGUUGAAAAUGGCGCUCACCUGCAUG